GCUCUCGAGUUUUUUCAAAAUAAAGCUCAAUACACGCGCGCGACGUUGCGUUAUUGGGUGGCAACAGCUGCUGAACGCGAGCGAUGUAACAGCGGAAGAGUUAGUGUCAGCUAUAGAAAAACUCGUCUUCGACACUCGACACAUGUGAUCCGAAUUACGUACGAAGACAAGCUGCAAACCAUGACCACUCGUAACCCAUAUACGGUGCACACGCGGAAGAAGAUCACAGGUGUUGAGUGUGUCUGUGUAGACGAAGGUGAGUAUAGCUUGACACGAGGUAUAGUAUAGUGUUAUUAAUAAAAAAACUCACCCGCUUGUAGAUUGCCUCUGGGUUUGGCGCCGAUUAUCGCCAGAUUGACGUUGGCUUUACGGCCGUCGAUUAUGGGGUUGGGAUCCUUGCAGGCCCGCUCCGCCGCCGGCCUGUCUCCCAUGAUCACCUGGAGAAGCACACAACCAGAAGGGCAUCGCUUUAUUAACCACGAAGCUCACUCGCCUCAUACUUCCGCGAUCUGUGUUUAUCUCUUUCUUUUUCUUUGAUGUUGUUUGUUUAUUUUUUUGCUGUUUCAAAAAAAUUCAAUCGCGAUACCUUCUUCCAUGUAAUAAUAAUAAACCGACGAGCUAUUCUACCCACUACUGCACAUAGCUGCCUGUGCAGCGUAUACGAUAAGGCCUUAAAAUAAUACAUUCCUAUAGCGAAGACUGUUCUUUCUCACGUUUGGAAACCAGAAUUUUCAUAUUAUCGCGCGGCCGAUAAGGCGAAGCUCGAGCAGGUUCUUUCCUUCGUGGGCACACAGGUACACUCACACAUACGCUCUGUAUACACACAGGCUCGACAUCGCGCAGAGGUGUGUACCGUUGUUGUUGUCGCGCUCUUUUAUAUUUCUCUUUAUCCAGUACGGCGCUCGUUUAAAUCGCCGAAGCGUGUCUCUUCGUAGGUAGGUCGGCCCACAAAGACUCUACACGCGGCUAUUUGUAUAAUACGCACACACACAUUCGGCCGGAGAGUUGCAGGAAGACGAGCUAUCCUCGGCGAGGUGCCUUUUAGGCUUUAUCGCGUCGAGUUAUCAAUGACGUCUACGACGAGCUCGGAAUCGCUAAUUUCCCUAUAUACGUGUGCUGGCUUCGUCUCUUAUUCCGCGGCUUUUUUUGUAAUCGUCGUCGAGUGAUAGAUCGAUUCCACACGUACGAGUGGCGCUUCAAUGUCGGAAGUGCUCGCGCGGAGCGUUUUUUUUUAUGCGGUGGAAGAGCUUGAAAAUUUAUUUAUUAAAUCAAGUAUGGUGUUCUAGAACAAACAUUUGGUGUGUUAUUAAUUCGCAUCGACUAGUUGAUAUAAGUAAGCAAAGGUUCUCCAACGAUUAAUGCGUAUGUAAAUCAAUUGAAAUAAAAGGAAGAAACAACAGAAAAA